GGGGCCUUAGCUCAGCUGGGAGAGCGCCUGCGUUGCACGCAGGAGGUCAGCGGUUCGAUCCCGCUCGGCUCCACCA
rnacentral:tRNA from 1 species